GAGGAGCUUGGANAACCUACUAACCCAGGGCUCGGCCGGGACGCUGUGGCGUGUGACGAGGUGCCUGGCCUUCUGCCAACCAACUAACCCACUAACCAGGCCCGAGCAUGCCCUACUAACCCCCCGCAGCCCGACCCUACUAACC
ensembl:misc_RNA